rnacentral:tmRNA from 1 species
GGGGGCGAUCUGGCUUCGACGGGGUCAUGGCGCUUAGUCUUGCAUGUCGAGGGGCUGUCGCUCGUAAAACAUAGCAACACAUUAAUUGCCAACGAGCAAUUAGCACUUGCUGCCUAAUUUAGCGCAGCACGCGUCUUUAGGUUUCGCCCAUAGGGCUUAAAGAGGCGACGAUCAUGUGGGAUAGCAAAACUUGUCGCUUUCUGAUGGUUUUGCAAAAUUUAAAGAAAGCUAUGAAUGAUGCGGCCGGUGACGAAGCCAACUCAUUCAGAAACACAAUUCGAUCACUACGCAUGUAGAAAGCUAGGCUCCCAUUUCUUCGGACGCGGGUUCAAUUCCCGCCGCCUCCACUU